GAUGAACGCUAGCGGCAGGCUUAACACAUGCAAGUCGAGGGGUAACAGGGUGCUUGCACCGCUGACGACCGGCGCACGGGUGCGUAACGCGUAUACAAUCUACCUUUUACAGAGAGAUACCCCAGAGAAAUUUGGAAUAAUACCUCAUAAUAUUUUUGCUCGGCAUCGAGUGACAAUUAAAGUUUCGGCGGUAAAAGAUGAGUAUGCGUCCUAUUAGCUAGUUGGUAAGGUAACGGCUUACCAAGGCAACGAUAGGUAGGGGUCCUGAGAGGGAGAUCCCCCACACUGGUACUGAGACACGGACCAGACUCCUACGGGUGGCAG
rnacentral:rRNA from 1 species